UACGGGGGGGGCUAGCGUUGUUCGGAAUUACUGGGCGUAAAGGGCGCGUAGGCGGCCUACUAAGUCGGACGUGAAAUCCCUCGGCUCAACCGGGGAACUGCGUCCGAUACUGGUGGGCUCGAAUCCGGGAGAGGGAUGUGGAAUUCCAGGUGUAGCGGUGAAAUGCGUAGAUAUCUGGAGGAACACCGGUGGCGAAGGCGGCAUCCUGGACCGGUAUUGACGCUGAUGCGCGAAAGCCAGGGGAGCAACGGG
rnacentral:rRNA from 1 species